rnacentral:lncRNA from 1 species
CCGUGUCUGCGACCUACACCACAGCUCACAGCAACGCAGGAUCAUGGGAACCCAUUGAGCGGGGCCAGGGAUCCAACCUGCGUCCUCAUGGAAACCAGUUGGGAUCGUUACUGCUGAGCAGCAACGGGAAGUCUUCCAUGUUCUUUUCAUUAGAAAAGAGUCACUAAAUCCAGCCCACACUAAAAGUGAGGGAAUUAUAUAUAUAUAUAUAUAUUUUUUUUUUUUUUUGCUUUUUAGGGCCACAGCCACGCAUAUGGAGAUUCCCAGUCUAGGGGUCCAAUCAGAGCUACAGCUGCCAGCCUACAAGACAGCUACAGCAAAGCAGAUUCUGAGCUGCAUCUACGACCUA